UGGCGCCACUAUCAAUGAUUCAAUGAUUUAAGGCCUUUCUUUGUGUAGUGAAUAAGGAGUAGAAAGGUACAGAUAUACCUGCGUAGUUCACUUGGGCAAAAUUUUUACCAUUGAAGAAGGCUUUGAUUUGAUUAAGUUCUUCGGGAGUAAAUUGACGAGUGGUAGUUGUGGAGACUUUGUGGAAGUCAUGACUGAUCUAAGUACUUCGUGAUGUGCAGCAAGUUUUCUAUUACGAUUUGGUGGUUGAACAUCUUUUCCAUGGAGUUUGUGGCCAACUGGGAAGCCAUUCAGGUACUAGCAACGGUCCACAGUGUGAGUAGUACCUUCAUAGUAGGAGCAAACUUGGGAUUUUCAAUCCCUUUGGGACUUAUAGUGGGAGGAUGACCAUUGUUUCUGUUGACGUGAACCUUCAGAUGAUAUUUCCUUAGAGUUUUCAUGAGUUUUGAUGUUCAUGGCGUGAAUGAGGUCGCUGCUCUUUGUUUCAAUAAGACCCCGUUGCUUUUCUUCUUCACAUAAGAGUGAAUAAGCCUUUCUUAUAGUUGGUAGAGGUUGCAUUAGCAUAAUUUGUCCUCGAACAGCAGAAUAUGUUUCAUUCAAUCCCAUAAGGAAUUGUCCAAGUCGAAUCCUUCCUUCCCUGCUCUUCAAGUCCUUUUGUGCUUCACAAGUGUAAGUGAUUGGAGGGCUACAGGCAGCAAGUUCAUCCCACAACAUUUUCAUCUUUGUGUAAUAAGAAAAAAUCGAUUCCUGAUCUUGUUUCAAUUCAACAAUAGAUCGUUGAGUUUGAUAAUGAUGAGAAAAGUCACCUUGAGAGAAUCGUUCUUGAAGAUCUAUCCAGACUUCUGAAGGAGUUUUAGCAUAUAGAACGCUGUUGGUCAGCUCCGGACUUAGGGAAUUAAAUAUCCAAGACGACAACAUGUCAUUGUAGCGCUUCAAUAGGGAAUACUUUGGAUCUUUUGUCUCUGGGAUAGAAAUUGUUCCUUUGAUAAAUCCCAACUUGUUUUUAG
rnacentral:lncRNA from 1 species